rnacentral:lncRNA from 1 species
AUGGUCCCUGGCUUCACAUGCGUCCAAACUGAGACUGCAUUCCCUCCACACCUGAUCAUUGGCUGCCCAGAAAGGUUAUUCAAGAGAACUCCAGUUUUGGUCUUAUUCUCGGUUUGUAAAUGGAAGAUGGGAAGUAAAGUCUUAAGGGCAAUAGACUCUGUACCUAAACCGAGUGUGGAUUUGCUUCCCUUCCUGGGAGUUCGUGAAAUCUCCCUGCUGCUCUCCUAAGGAGAGCCACAGACCUUGAGGGAUCAAUCAUUGAAGCUAGUUUCCUCCCAAAGGAGACUACUUCAUCUAACAUCUCUUACUUUACAAGGUGUAAUACGGUCUACAAACCACCAUCCCUCUGGUAAGCAGCUUUUUAAAAAUUUUUAUGUUUGUCUUUUUAGGGCCACACCUACAGCAUAUGGAAGUUCCCACACUACAGGUUGAAUCUGAGCUGCAGCUGCCAUCCUACCCCAUAGCCACAGCCAUGCUAGGAUUCAAGCCACAUCUGUGACCUACACCAUAGUUUGUGGUAACUCCAGAUCCAUAACCCAGUCAGCGAGGCCAGAUCAAACCUGCGUCCUCAUGGAUACUAGUCAGGUUCAUUACCACUGAGCCACCAUGGGAACUCCAUUGUAAGCAGUCAUGGAAUAGCGGAAAAGUGUAAACAGAAAAGGAACCAACAUUCACAGAGUGAAAUAAGUAGGAGAAUCCAGUCCAAACAAGUAGGAGAAAGCACUGUCCCCUUGAUACAAUGUCCUAUAUCUCACUUUUUAAUAACAAAAAAACUCCACAAAUUAUUCUUUUUUUUUUUUUUUUUUUUUUUUUUUUUUUUUUUUUUUUUUUUCUUUUGUUGUUGUUGUUGCUAUUUUUUGGGCCACUCCCAUGGCAUAUGGAGAUUCCCAGGCUAGGGGUUGAUUCGGAGCUGUAGCCACCGGCCUACACCAGAGCCACAGCAACACGGGAUCCGAGCCGCGUCUGCAACCUACACCACAGCUCAUGGCAACGCCGGAUCGUUAACCCACUGAGCAAGGGCAGGGACCGAACCCGCAACCUCAUGGUUCCUAGUCGGAUUCGUUAACCACUGCGCCACGAUGGGAACUCCCACAAAUUAUUCUUAAUUAAUAAAAUUAAAGCAUUUUAACAGCAUGCCAUAGACCUGAAUGAAAUGUUCUUUUGGGAAAACUAAAACAUUUAAGAACAUGUAAUCUGAAUUAUUUACUCUUAGUCUGCAGCUUAGCUGUUCAUUUUCUUAAUUUAUCUUUUUCUUUUGUAGUUAGAGCUUUUUGGGUAAAUACAAAAUAUUUACCUACCCCAGGACUGCCUCUGUCUUUUCUUACAGAAGCUUUAUGCUUGUAGCUCUUAUUUAUUUAUUUAUUUAUUUAGCUUUUUAGGGCCUCGCUUGCAGCAUAUGGAGAUUCCCAGGCUAGGGAUGGAAUCGGAGAUACAGCUGCUGGCCCACACCACAACCAGAGCAAUGCCAGAUCUGAGACACACCUGCAACCUACAUCACGGCUCAUGGCAAUGCCACAUCCCUGACCCAACGAGCGAGGCCA